ensembl:lncRNA
UCUUGAGUGGAUUGGUGAUGGUUCCACAUAGGGUGCUUGGGACUACGUCAGGAUAAAAUCGCCAGCCUUUGUAAGCCAGGGGAUGGGGUCAGAGGGAGCCUGGGUUUCCGAAAAAUGGCAGCCUUCUGCCCAGGCCAAGGACCGAUUUGGGUCUUUCCUUAUUUCCUCUGGUGAUGGGAACCGCUCUUGGAUGUUUCUAACGGUUAGACGGUUACUCAAGCUAUUUUGCUUUUUUUUUUUUUUCUUUUAGUAGAAUCUGGGGCAGUUAAUCACUUUACAUUCAUUACUCUUUUGUAAUGUAGAGAGCUUUCUCUGUGAAAUGCAGCGCAAUUUUCACAGAAGCCAUAGGAAACUUCCCUCCCGCGUCCCUUCAUAAGAUCAAACAGCCAGAAGAACCCACAGCAGCUAGAGGAAAUAUCUUCCUCCCCUACAGUCUCUAUCCCUCCUUGACUACCUUCAGUGCUUUACGACAUGAGCACUGGCUUUCGUCUGGUUCAGGUAUUCAAAUUGGCUCCAAGAUAUUUUUUGAAGGGAAUGUUGACCUGCCUGCAGGAUCUCUAACUCCCACACCCAUCUCUCAUCUCAGAAGAUGGAGGAGGAAAAGCAUAAAUGCUUUACAGAGAGCUCUCCUUGGCCCUGGGAACCUGCUGCAUGUGAUGAGGAGGUGUCCCAGUGGUGAUUCCCUGCCAUGACGGUUGUCCCCAGAACCAGUGCUGGAGUUCUGAAGACACCUCUGAGGACUCUUUCACCUCCAACUGCUAGAGGCUGCACUUCCAAUUGCUACCACUGAAGAACUGAGGAUGCUCUGAGCCAUCCCCACUCCUGCCAGCAGCUCUCAGAUCCAGCAGUUAACCUACUAUUUAAGAUGCACAUCUUGAUUUCUUUUCACAGCCCGCUCAGUCACAUUUUGCAGUUUUGACUAGGAGAUAGCACCCUACGUGCAAGAAUUAGGUCAGGUCACACCAUUUAAUAAAGCUAUCAUGAACGAUGUGAGCACUACAUACAAAAGGGAAGAGGAGUCACACAGCUGUACUCUUUGUGGCAUGAAAUCAUGCAGCUUCCACUUGGGUAGGGACCUUUUUGAUGUCACAGGGUGAAGGAUUAAGUCAUAAUUAUGUAGAUCUAAAUUACCUUCCAGCAAACCCACUGGCGAUUCUUCAUUAACAUCGCAGCAGGCUUUAAUUCCAGCAUAAGACUGAUCACCCUUCAGCUCUCUGACAUCCAGCCCACAGAAUAUGUUUGGAAUUAAGCAGGGACUUUGUUUGAAAAGAACAUCAGGUGCUGUUUCUCUACUUUUGUCUCAGACUUGAGUUUGAUUAGCAAGUGUGCAUCCUCCUUUCAUGUUGGUACAUGGGAUGCGUGUUUGACCUCACUGCCCCAAGCUCACAACACUGGAAUCUGAGAACCCACUAGUUAUUAGGGACCUUAGUAUCACUGGUCACCUCAGUUUUCAUCAGAAGGCAGUAAAACUCCAGGUCAGGUUACUUUCAGGAAUUUUUAUGACUAAGAUGGCCAACUGAUAUGACCAUGAACGUUUUCUAGGCCCAAAUCAUACUCAGAAUCAGAGCUCUGACAUCUUAGUGUCUUUUCCAUGCACGUUGAAAUAACCAGGAGGAGAGGCUUAGGGAUAAAAGGGAUCUGCUAGCAACUUGGAUGUUUCCAUCUCAUUUCAGGUUGUGGAGGUUGAUCCUCAGUCAAUGUGCAGGAUCUUUAGGAUUGGUUAGUUGACUCUUGGUUUGGGUCACCCAGAAGCUUGUCUCAGCAAAGACUGUCUUUGAGCCAAAACAUCUCCAUCUUCUAGGGUAACCAAGGAGAUUGGUUCCCAGUGUUAGGCAGGAUAAAACAGCCUUGUUUUAGGGGAAUGUAGGACAGUCCUUGUAAGCAAUAGAUGGUGAGAUCUGCUUUUCUCCAUUGAGGAGGGAGCUAGGCUUUCUUAUACACAUCUUUCAGGACUGGUUAUCCAUAGACUUUUUAAAAUCUGUAACAGGGGAUAUUAUUCACUUAAAUCAGGUAAUAUUUAGCAGCUGACUAAAGCACAGAGGAGAUAACAGAGUUGAGAGGGACAGUCUUGGCCGGUAGAUCUCCAAACAGAAUUAGCUAGUGGACUUAAAAAAAGGGAGAUAUUGCCAGGUCUCGCUAUAGGCCUAUGAAGUCAACAUCUGCAGUGGUUCUUUAAGCUUCCAUGAGGCUUAAUUUUAGUUGUAGCAGCUCUCCUAAUUCUUCUAUGUGUUUUCUUGUCUCCGUUUGUUAUUUUUAUCUUAGCUUGUUUAUGGAUAUAUGUCAUAAUUCCAGUCCACUUCAAAUUCUUUCUGGAAAACAGAUGAUGGUGGUAGUGGUAGGUGUCAAGUUAUAAGUAAUUUGAAAACAGAAGUCAUCCACAAAAAUCCUCUACCCACUAGAUAAGGAAAUCACAUUCAUCAUCUGUGAUAAAUGACCAUUUAUCUUUGCUUGAAAUCUUUAAGUGAAAAGCAGCUCACUACUUUAAAAUGUGACCUAUUCCACUGUGGACUGCUUUCACUAUAUAAAGUUCUUCCUUGUAUUGAAACAGAAGUAGCUUCCUGGUAACAUUCCUCUAUUGGUCUUAAUUCUUUCCUUUGAUUAUUUUAGAGGAUUUUUCCUCCUAGCGUUUAUUCGUGUGAAAUGAAUAAGAGAAACCUGAUUAAAUUGGAGUCAGGAAGGCCUGCAGGGGGAGUUCUCACACCCUAUCAUACAUCGUCAAUUACUCCAAACAGGAAGAGACUUAUGCUGGCAUCUCCAACAGG